AGUGGGAUUUCUGGGUCAAAUGGUGGUUCCAUUCCAAGUUUUCUGAGGAAUCUCCAUACUACUUUCUAGAGUGUUUUCACCAAUUUCCAGUCCCACCAGCAAU
rnacentral:pre_miRNA from 1 species